UACAGAGGUCUCAAGCGUUGUUCGGAUUCAUUGGGCGUAAAGGGUGCGUAGGCGGCGCGGUAAGUCGGGGUGUGAAAUCUCGGAGCUUAACUCCGAAACUGCAUUCGAUACUGCCGUGCUUGAGGACUGGAGAGGAGACUGGAAUUUACGGUGUAGCGGUGAAAUGCGUAGAUAUCGGAAGGAACACCGGUGGCGAAAGCGGCGCGCUGGACCUCUUCUGACGCUGAGGCGGCGAAAAGCCAGGGGAGCCAA
rnacentral:rRNA from 1 species